GACGAACCGUCCUAACGUUGUUCGGAAUCACUGGGCUUAAAGGGCGCGUAGGCGGGUCAGCAAGUCCGGGGUGAAAUCUUUCGGCUCAACCGGAAAAUAGCCUUGGAUACUGCUGGUCUCGAGGGAGGUAGGGGCCUGUGGAACUUCCGGUGGAGCGGUGAAAUGCGUUGAUAUCGGAAGGAACGCCGGUGGCGAAGCGGGUCUCUGGGCCGAUACUGACGCUGAGGAGCGAAAGCGUGGGGAGCGAACAGG
rnacentral:rRNA from 1 species